rnacentral:rRNA from 1 species
UACGUAGGGUGCGAGCGUUAAUCGGAAUUACUGGGCGUAAAGCGUGCGCAGGCGGUGAUGUAAGACCGAUGUGAAAUCCCCGGGCUCAACCUGGGAAUUGCGUUGGAGACUGCAAGGCUAGAAUCUGGCAGAGGGGGGUAGAAUUCCACGUGUAGCAGUGAAAUGCGUAGAGAUGUGGAGGAACACCGAUGGCGAAGGCAGCCCCCUGGGUCAAGAUUGACGCUCAUGCACGAAAGCGUGGGGAGCAAACAGGAUUAGAGUACCC